rnacentral:rRNA from 1 species
AGAGUUUGAUCCUGGCUCAGAACGAACGCUAGCGGUAGGCCUAACACAUGCAAGUCGAACGGGCAUAUAGCUUGGCUUGCCAAGUUGUAUGUCAGUGGCAGACGGGUGAGUAAUACAUAGGAAUCUACCUGACAGUAAGGAAUAGUCACUAGAAAUGGUGAGUAAUACCAUAUACGCCCUGAGGGGGAAAGAUUUAUCGCUGUCAGAUGAGCCUAUGUUGGAUUAGCUAGUUGGUGAGGUAAAUGCUCACCAAGGCAACGAUCCAUAGCUGGCCUGAGAGGGUGAACAGCCACACUGGAACUGAGAUACGGUCCAGACUCCUACGGGAGGCAGCAGUGGGGAAUAUUGGGCAAUGGGCGAAAGCCUGACCCAGCCAUACCGCAUGAGUGAUGAAGGCCUUCGGGUUGUAAAGCUCUUUUAGUGGGGAAGAGAAUGACGGUACCCACAGAAAAAGUCCUGGCUAACUCCGUG